rnacentral:lncRNA from 1 species
UUCAGUACAAAGGAUAAAACAUUAAGGCUUUUUAAUGAUUUCUAAGUUUGAUACGGAGUAUAUCAAAUAGUGAGUGUUAACGGCUUCAAUGAGAAUUUUGAGGCCAGUUCUCUACGCACUUAUGAAACCAGGCGGUGUUCAUGGAUGAAACGAACACAACAAUGAGAACCAAAGACGGUCAAGAAUUGGUUGUGUGACUUGUGGUUGUCUAGGUAUACACCAAAGUUCGACGGUUCAAAGAUAUCAAAUCUACCGAUUGAUCGAGUAUAUCCGACAUAAGUUACGAUUAAGGGUUGGUUGUGUGACUUGUGGUUGUCUAGGUAUACACAAAGUUCGACGGUUCAAAGAUAUCAAAUGUACCGAUUGAUCGAGUAUCCGACAUAAGUUCACUACGAAAGUUCAAAGGGAAACCUACUUAUCCAGAUGCAAUUAAUCCUUGCUUGCGAAUCACAUACUUUUUCAUGCAUACUUCCGCGAAAUAACCAUUCCCCAUUCAUGUGGGGGAUUGUUGGGUUUAUGUAU